GCCCCCUUAAUUUAGUGGUAAAAUAGUGUCCUUGUAAGACACCUUCGCGGGUUCAAUUCCUCGCAGGGGGCU
rnacentral:tRNA from 2 species